UGGGGAAUUUUGCACAAUGGAGGAAACUCUGAUGCAGCGACGCCGCGUGAGUGAUGAAGAUCUUCGGAUUGUAAAACUCUGUCUUUAGUGAAGAUAAUGACAGUAACUAAGAAGCAAGCCCUGGCUAAAUACGUGCCAGCAGCCGCGGUAAUACGUAUGGGGCAAGCGUUGUCCGGAAUUAUUGGGCGUAAAGGGUACGUAGGCGGUUUAAUAAGUCCUAAUUAAAAGGCUAUGGCUCAACCAUAGUAUGGUUAGGAAACUGUUGAACUUGAGUAGAUGAGGGGAACGUGGAAUUCCAUGUGUAGCGGUGAAAUGCGUAGAUAUAUAGAGGAACACCAAUGGCGAAGGCAACGUUCUGGAAUCAAACUGACGCUGAGGUACGAAGGCGUGGAGAGCAAACAGG
rnacentral:rRNA from 1 species